AUACGUAGGGUGCGAGCGCUGUCCGGAAUUACUGGGCGUAAAGAGCUCGUAGGUGGUUUGUCGCGUCGUCUGUGAAAUUCCGGGGCUUAACUCCGGGCGUGCAGGCGAUACGGGCAUAACUUGAGUACUGUAGGGGAGACUGGAAUUCCUGGUGUAGCGGUGAAAUACGCAGAUAUCAGGAGGAACACCGGUGGCGAAGGCGGGGCUCUGGGCAGUAACUGACGCUGAGGAGCGAAAGCAUGGGUAGCGAACAGGAUUAGAUACCCUGGUAGUCCAUGCCGUAAACGGUGGGCGCUAGGUGUAGGGGUCUUCCACGACUUCUGUGCCGUAGCUAACGCAUUAAGCGCCCCGCCUGGGGAGUACGGCCGCAAGGCUAAAACUCAAAGGAAUUGACGGGG
rnacentral:rRNA from 1 species